CCGAGGUGAGUUAUGCUGUUUAAUAAAAGUUUUUUAGUUAUUCUAGAUAUCCGUAUCACAUGCUUCUAGUUAAACGUUUUCCUACCGCUUAACCCUCUACUUAAUAUACAGUUAGGCCUUUAGUAGCUGUAUUUACAGAUUUGUUAUUUGUGCUUUUUUUACAAUAAUUUCAGUAUUGCCAACACUCCCUGAAGGCCACAUAAUCAUUGAGACCUUCUUAUGGACGCGCGGAUGGCCUCCCGAUUCAUGGAGGGAGAUCUCCACAAACGUCGGAGAGGUGCACAAAGUUGUGGAGGAAAAUAUGGGACAAAUGUGCAUGCGCGGCACCCGUGAAUUCUUUAGCGAAAAUCCCUAAACCAAAACCCAUUCAUUCUCUAUGUUAGUGCUAAACCACUACGGAUGUAAUAUAUCUUUGGCCACCGGUGGCGCUGUUGUGCGGACCGAGCGUGUACCCGGAUGUAAAGCGUUUCUCCGGACAUUCUCCGUCAGUCUACCCGGGAAAGAGCACCGAAGCGACAGUCCACCUCUGUCGGACCUCGCGCUGUGAGGAAGUCACUAAACAAUGCUGACUCAAGCCUCUGUUGAGAAGAUUGCACUCGACAUCAUGGAAAAGCAGCAGGAACAACAACAACCACCGAGGCAAAAGAAGGGACACACGAAAAGGUGUCUUUCCUGUGGCCAGCCAAAGUCUAGGUAUGAAAAUGAUGGUUCUUCAAUCCACUUCUUCUACCAGCAGGGCCCGGUCCGAUACUUCUACUGCUCCGCUAAAGUUUUUAAAACUUAUGGUGCUGAAGGUCUGACAAACCCCAAAAUGCCUUUUGUAGACUUUACUGAGACAGUUCUCUCAGCUAGAACUGGAUGCCACACAGAAAAGGGUGGCAGAGAAAGGACCGCAGAAGAGGAAAAGAACUGAUUGCCAGUCCGCAGGUCGCAAGUGUCUGUUCUGUAAGAUGGAACUGAAGCAGGGCCCAAACAGUCGUCACAUUCACACUGGGUUCCCUGGAGUAACAGGGAAGUACAUUUUCUGCCCGGUUAAAAUCUUUUCACUAUACAAAGACCAUGGACAUGGAAAUGACGUGGAGAGAGUUCCAGGGGUCUGCUUUCUUUGAGAAAGAAAAACAGAGAUGGGAGGCUGAAAGGAGGAAUGAAGAGAAAUAAUAAGGGGAGUUCCAUCCAGAAUUUUAAGUCCAAUUAUUUGUAAUAUACAUGUUGUAAUUAGUUUAUAUAUUGUUUUCUUGCAUUUGUGACUUUGUACAUUAAAUAUUAUCUUUUUAUUUAUUCUUUAUAUUUGGUUUUAUGGUUUGAUAGUCAUUAGUUGAAUUAUUUGGAUGUCUUUAUUUCGGUAACAUUUUUGUUUGUAUAGGACUAUACACGUUAAUAAAUAUAUUUCAAUUA